rnacentral:rRNA from 13 species
UUCGGUGGUUAUAGCGGUGGGGAAACACCCGGUCCCAUUCCGAACCCGGUAGUUAAGCCCGCCAGCGCCGAUGGUACUGCACUGGUGACGGUGUGGGAGAGUAGGUCGCCGCCGGAC